UUUGCUGUUUAGAAACUUGUGGGCAGCUUUGCACAGUGGCAGUAUCGUAGCCAAUGAGGUUUAUCCGAGGCGCAAUUAUUGCUAAUAGAAA